AGUUAAAAAGCUCGUAGUUGGAUUUCGGAGUGGGCCAGUUGGUCCGCCGCAAGGUGUGUUACUGACUGGUUUGCUCUUCUUCGCAAAGACUGCGUGUGCUCUUGAGUGAGUGUGCGUAGGAUUUACGACGUUUACUUUGAAAAAAUUAGAGUGUUCAAAGCAGGCUAUUGCUUGAAUACAUGAGCAUGGAAUAAUGGAAUAGGACUUUGGUCCCAUUUUGUUGGUUUCUAGGGCCGAAGUAAUGAUUAAGAGGGACAAUUGGGGGCAUCCGUAUUUCGUUGUCAGAGGUGAAAUUCUUGGAUUUACGAAAGACGAACAACUGCGAAAGCACUUGCCAAGAGUGGUUUCAUUAAUCAAGAACGAAAGUUAGAGGAUCGAAGACGAUCAGAUACCGUCCUAGUUCUAACCAUAAACGAUGUCGACUAGGGAUCAGCGGGCGUUAUCGUACGACCCCGUUGGCACCUUACGGGAAACCAAAGUUUUUGGGUUCCGGGGGAAGUAUGGUUGCAAAGCUGAAACUUAAAGGAAUUGACGGAAGGGCACCACCAGGAGUGGAGCCUGUGGCUCAAUUUGACUCAACACGGGAAAAACUUACC
rnacentral:rRNA from 1 species